rnacentral:lncRNA from 1 species
GCUCCAACAGCAACAACCUCACCUCCUUGCGGUUUAGUCUGCGCCGUCGAUGGAAGCAAAAUGCCACCAACCGUCUUCUCCUCGGCAGCGCCAAGCUUCACGAGCACCCUGUCUCCCAGAGGCUUCAGUGAAGUGUACUGCAACAUGACAUCAUAUCAGCUUAAUGCUGCAAGCCAUACACAAGCAUACCUACACUAGAUUCUACCAAAACAGUUGAUGCGGAGCAGGUGCAUUCUGCGAAAAAUUGGACGCGUUCAGUGAGGCCCAUAUCCACGUGUCGCAUACCUUUGGGGCGACAACGGUAGCAGCCCGGACGACAAGGCUACGGGCCGAGCGCCUCGACGAGCAGACCCUGAGAGUCGCCAGGCUCUUGUUCGUGAAGGCCACGGCGGCGACUCCGGCGCCAGAGAGCUGCACCGACGACAUUCUCGUGUGCUCGCGGAACGACGGCUAGCUGCGGAUUCAGGCAGGCAAGAGUCAGCCUAAUAAAUCGAGGUGAAUGCCAUAGCCAUCCAAAUCUCAACUGUGACGCGAGAAAUGACGGAAAUCGGAAUAAAUCAGCGCAAAUUCCAUCUAGAUUCAGCGGCACAAAUAAAAACAGUUGCAGUAGGUGUCAAGCAGAGCCCACCAAAUCCACAAGGGGGAACUCAACUAAAUCAAACCCGCCUCUUGCAGUACCAAAUCUGCGGCUCGGAGCACACCAAAUUCACCCCAAUCCCACUCCUGAACCCGCCAAAUCCAACACCCAACAAGCGAGAAUCCCAGGGGGCUGGUACCUUGUCUUCGGAGCUGGGGCCUGAGGCUGCGCUUUGGAAUCCGGCUGCCGUGCGCGAGAAGCGAGUUGGGGGCAGACGAGGAGGUGAGGAGAUAAACCCUAUGCGAGAGAGCAGAGC